rnacentral:rRNA from 1 species
ACAUGCAAGUCGACCUUGACAGAGGAGUUUUCCCGUAGAGUGGCAUAACGGGUGAAUGAUGCAUCGGAACGUCCGAUUAUGAGGAGUAACGCACCGAAGGUGUGUAAUACCGCAUACGCCCGAGGGAGAAAGUGGGGGACCGCAAGGCCUCACGCUAAUCGAGCGGCCGAUGUCGGAUUAGCUAGUUGGUGGGGUAAAGGCUCACCAAGGCGACGAUCCGUAGCGGGUUUGAGAGGAUGAUCCGCCACAUACCUGGGACUGAGACACCGGCCCAGACUCCUACGGGAGGCAGCAGUGGGGAAUUUUGGACAAUGGGGGAAACCCUGAUCCAGCCAUGCCGCGUGUUGAAGAAGGCCUUCGGGUUGUAAAGGACUUUUGUCCGGGAGG